AUUUGAGUAGUUUAAUCAAAAUAUUGGUUUGUGGCACCAAAGAAACAGCUAGUUUGUCUUAAAUC
rnacentral:tRNA from 1 species